UACGGAGGGGGCUAGCGUUGUUCGGAAUUACUGGGCGUAAAGGGCGCGUAGGCGGUCUUGAUAGUCAGGCGUGAAAGCCCCGGGCUUAACCUGGGAACUGCGUUUGAAACUUCAAGACUAGAGAUCGGUAGAGGAAAGUGGAAUUCCCAGUGUAGAGGUGAAAUUCAUAGAUAUUGGGAAGAACACCAGUGGCGAAGGCGGCUUUCUGGGCCGAUUCUGACGCUGAGGCGCGAAAGCGUGGGGAGCAAACAGG
rnacentral:rRNA from 1 species